GUGUGAGGUGGCCCGGCGGGCUCCCUCACUUUCUUAAAACAUCAUUUUUCUUACACGUCAUGUUUUAAUUUUUUCAAAAGCAAUUGAAAAAAUAUAAAUUGUACCAGGCUGACCCCACCUCCGUUGUCCGAUUUGCCCUUUUGAUCCAGCCUCCAAACUUCUGCCACUGAGGCGAAGGGAAUAAUUGGUAGUGGUAGUAGACUGUCACCCUGUGUGUGAACCUGCUGCUGUCCCAAGGGGUUUUCCUAGAUAAUCUGCAGACAGCAGUGGAAUAUUAGAGUCCCUCCUCCACGCCACAGAGGCACUAGGCCGUCUGGCUAAAAUGGCUGUAAGAUUUUUUGUAAAGAUGGGCAAAACGAUGUAUUUUUCCGUAACCUCAUUCUCAGAAGCAGAUGAACCAUUUGAGCUGGAUCUUUCCGAACUCCUUAUCUUGACGCAUACACCUGGCUGGCAUAGAAAAUUUCAGCCCAAUCUGCUAAAGUUGGCAAAGUUAUUAAAAAAAAUGGAAACGUGGUCUUAUAAUGUGCAGUGUUGGGCAACCUUAACUAACCACAGUACUGCUGUAACCUAUGUGCCUAACAGGGAGAUUUCAGAGUAGCAGCUGUGUUAGUCUGUAUCCGCAAAAAGAAAAGGAGGACUUGUGGCACCUUCCAGACGCCUUUUCUUUUUAAUAGGGAGAUAUCUCUUUAAGAGAUCCAUUGGGGGAGGUAGGAAUGAGCUGUGUCUGGGUCAUUGUUGCAAGGCGGAUUAAGCACACCACAUCCAGAAGCUUCUGGAAUUUGGUGUGGUAGUUUUGGGUCUGCUCCAAUAGGUUCCCUGUUGCUGGAGUCAGACUCCAGGGGCAGCUGCUUUGUAGAAGGCCACGUGCCCUGGGUGAGUUGAGAGAAGCUGAGACUAGGAGCCGGAAGCAGGCUGGUGUCCCUACUGCUGAAGCAUUUUGCAGCUGGGUUUUCUUUAAAUCUAAACACUUAACAGAGUGAUUGGUUAAUCUGUUAGCUGACUGGCUAGCAGUGAUUUCAGCAGAGGAAGUCUGCAUGGAUUCCAACUGAAGAUUCCUACAAGCAAGUGGAGAAAAGAUGUUGUUUUAGACUCAGCAGACGGUAUAGAUCCUGUAGCAUCUUAAAUUUGUUAAGUCUCUAGGGUGCCACAAGGAUGCCUCGGUUUUUGUUUUGUUUUUUUGCUGAUACAGACUAACACGGCUGCCACUGAAACCUUUAUAGAUCUUGGUGACCAAAGACUCUAACUUACACAUAGGUGAACAAAACCUAAGCUUUUGGGAGCUCUGUUUCUUCUCUCUCUAUUUCUGUGGGCAUUGAACCAUUCCAUUUUAAUUUGUUUUCUUUAUUUAUGUAUAACUGUGAAGAUAAUGUCUGUCGAUUAUAAAAUCUUAUGAUAAAGAAACAAAUAAUAUAAUGUUUACAGCAUGACAUAGUUAUUUUAUAAAGUUAUUUAAUUAAAUUCAUUUCUUUAGUUCCUUUUGGGACUCGAAUGGGUGGAGGUUGACCCUGUGCAAUCCUUGCUAGAAAUCCUUAGAGACUGAACUCUGGGUCUCCAGCUACUUUCUGUAGGAGUUGGGGGGUUUUUUUUAGUCACUGGAGAUAGGAAAUGAAGUGAACUCUACCCCACCCAAAGGUUACACUACCAGCCAUGCUACUGACUCUGUCUGUAAUACUGUUCUAACUCUAGAUAUUCUUGCUUUUCAUAUACUUGUCUAAUACCUUCUUAAAUCCUACAAAGCUCUUGCUGUCAGUGAUAUUUUUCACAAUGAUUCCACAGACUAAUUGUGUGUUGUAUGAAAAAGGAUCAUAGUGGAGCAACAGCACCACUCUAGAUAUGAAUGAGAUUAAUUUACUGUUCAACAGUUGAUUUUUCUAAGUGCUCUAAAAUCCUUGUGCUUACUCUGCAAGCCCGAAAAUUGGCUGUAGCUCAUUGGGGCAAUGUGUAGGGUUAGUAGUCAAAAUUUAGGGUCAUUUGAGCACUUGGGAGUCCCCAAAUAAAGCCCUCACCAAAACAUCAUGUGACAUCAGCGUAUGGAGAAUUGUUAUAACGGUAAUGUCUGAUGCAUAAUUUGGACAGUAAGAUUGUAUUCGGGCUGGCUUCAGCCUACUUUUCUUGACAGGAGUGUAACAUUGCCUUAGUGACCUUGUUGUUAUUAUGUAUAACUGCUGUGUAGGACAAAGGGGAAGUUUUGGCCACUGUGCUUAAAUUGAAGGACAACAGACACACAAAAUGUGCUGCCAAAAGGCAUUUAGGGAAAAGACAAGUAGAGAAAAACAGGAAAGUCCCAAAAAGUCCCUAUGGCCCUAUGCAGACAAAAGGGUCAAAGUGACCUGGUUAAAUAUGCAUAAUCAGCGUGUAAUCAGUAGUAAUAAACCAAUUAGAAAAGAGACAUAACAUGAAAAAAGCAAGGACAGCAACAGUCAUGCCAAUUGAAGUUUAUGCAUACUUAUUUUAUGAGUUGCAUAAGAUAUAGAUAUAUAUAAAAUAUUCAUGAUAAUGGUAAUUGCAAAAAACUAAUGAAUAUGUAAUUUGGCAGUGUAUAAAAUGUGGUUAAUUGUAAGAGGUAGUCAAAGCUUUGUAGAAAAAAAAUCCAUUAUGACUUGCCUGUGCCCCAGAAAAAGGUAACUGGCCAUUUCCUUUUUCUGUAUGUCUGUCAUUUCUUACUGUAAUAGUAAUUUUGGUUCGAACAAAGGUUUGAAUUAAUAAACCUGAGUGUCUCAAA